rnacentral:rRNA from 1 species
CCCUCCCUUGUUUUACCCGCCUAUAUACCGCCGUCGUCAGCUUACCCUUUGAGGGCUUAACAGUAAGCAAAAUUAGCACAGCCCAGAACGUCAGGUCGAGGUGUAGCGUAUGAGAGGGGAAGAAAUGGGCUACAUUCACUAGCCUAGUGAAUCACGGAAGAUGUACUGAAAACGUACAGCCGAAGGAGGAUUUAGCAGUAAGUAGAGAAUAGAGCGCUCUACUGAAACUGGCCCUGAAGCACGCACACACCGCCCGUCACCCUCCCCAGAACAAUAGCCCUACGUACAUAAAACAACAAAAACUCUAAGGGGAGGCAAGUCGUAACAUGGUAAGUGCACCGGAAGGUGUACUUGGAAAAA